GAUGAAGAACGCAGCGAAAUGCGAUAAGUAAUGUGAAUUGCAGAAUUCAGUGAACCAUCGAAUCUUUGAACGCACAUUGCGCCCCCUGGCAUUCCGGGGGGCAUGCCUGUCCGAGCGUCAUUUCUGCCCUCCAGCCCGGCUGGGUGUUGGGCGCUGUCCCCCCGGGGACACGCCCCAAAGGCAGUGGCGGCGCCGCGUCGGGUCCUCGAGCGUAUGGGGCUUUGUCACCCGCUCGGGACGGACUCGUCGGCGCUGGUCUUCCUCCAGGCGACCCUUCGGGGCUCGUCUUCCUUCGGUUGACCUCGGAUCAGGUAGGGUUACCCGCUGAACUUAAGCAUAUCAAUAAGCGGAGGA
rnacentral:misc_RNA from 1 species